CAAAUCCAAUCCCGCCCGCCAAUCACGCCGGCAGUGCAUCUCCUUCCAUCCCCGCCGCCGCGCCGCAUCUCGCGAUCGCGCCCGUCGCUUCCCCUCCGCGCCUCCCCCAGGCGCCGCCUCCCUCCUCGCGGCCCCGUUCUCCCCCUCGCGCCACCGCCUCCCUGCGACCUCGGCCUCGACGGCGUGCUGCCGGUUCUCGCGCGGCUGGGCGCAGAGCGUGGUGGCGGCAUCCUUCUUUUUCCUCGCGCCGCCGGCCUCGAGGAGGGAACCAGCAGCAGGACGGCUCCCGCGCGGCCGGUGGCGCCGUCGAGGUGGAAGCGGCGUGGGGCGGAGCAGGAGCGGCUCCGCGGCCUCUCUCUCUUUGGCCGACGCGCACGCCGCCUCGAGCCAGGGCCGGCGCGGCCGGCCUCCAUCUCCAGCGGAUCUGGCCGGGUAUGGCGCGCACGCCAUGGAGGCCCUCCUCCCUCCUCCCUCCUUCGGAGCUCGGCAAUCUGCGCGAGCAGGCCGGGCGCCGCCGGCCUGGAUCUGCGCGAGCUCCUCUCGCCGCAGAGCAGGAGUAGGGGAAGGAGGUAGCGGCGAAUCAGCGGAGCGGUAGCGGCGCGGCUUGGCAGUUGCUGCGCGGGUCCUCCCUCCUUCCUCCGGCCUCAUGGACUGCUGGAGUGCCCGUGCGUUGCAAGGUGAAGGCACAAGCACUGCCCCCGCCACCAGCACCGCCGCAGCUGCCCACGUAUUCUCCUCCACGAAGCAGCACGCUUAGGAGGUCAUGGCAUGGAUCUUAUCAUCGUGCAGACCUAUGGCACCUCCGACGACGGCUUGAACUGCUCCCCCAACAUCACCUCGACCCCAGGCUCAAUCCUUCCUCCAACCAUAUGGUUGAUGGGGCGCUGAUCCUUUCCUCUUCGUUCUUCUUCAAAAUCUGGAGGAUUGAUUCGAUGUUUCCCCCCUUGUGAUGCGUCAGGUACUAUCCCACAGGCUAGCGAGAUCACCUCCAAUCACCUCUUUCAUUCACAAACAUGGUUGCAGGACGCCGACUGCGGGAGCACGAAUCACUUAGUGGCAUGUCGAUGGCUGGGGCUGAAAGAAAAUAAUUUAUGGACAAAUGAUUUCAAUGCCAAGCGCAUGUUAGGCCUAGAUGCGGAGCACUGAUGGCGAAAGAUCAGGUCAUUUUCAUUUUUAUGAUUAAUAAUUGCCUGAGUUUUUAUGAUACGAGUUACACAUGAAAAGGUUCCCCUGUGAUUUCAAUUAAAAGCGGCUCAGUGACACCGCUAUUUCGUUGCACACUUAGGUUUUCAGCUCCUAUUUAUUUCAUUGCACGGGCAUAGAAUUGAAUACUUUGUAGGAUUUUUGUGUUAUAAGCUUUAUAAAAAAACUUCUGUGUUUCUAUAAGUUAAUAGCUGUAGUUACUUGAAUCGUUGCCACUUGCCAGUUAAUAGCUAUAACAAUUAGGAUUUCUUGUGUAAACACAGUUUGAUCAAAUAUUGUUUUUGGAAAGUAAGGGUCUGGAGGAAGUGAAUACUGCUGAACCUAGCACAAGUAGUUUGCAUUGUCAAACCAGGCAGCUAAUGGAGGCACUGCCGAUUCAUCAUAGUCCUUGGUCCAGGGAGAGAACUAAAGUUUUGUUUGGUGAUUAGCUUUCUUUGCAAUUAUGUCAUGAACCAGGUACUAGCAUGUAUGCACACCGUCUCGCACUCGGUGUUUUGGGGUCAAUCUGAGAUGUUAUUAGUCCAGCAAUGUUUAACUGAUCAGAUAUUAUAUGUUCGCAACCUAACCAUUGUCGAAUUUGUUAGUUGGUACACUACUCACUGAGAAAUUAACUUCACAUGAGCUGAUUUUGUUGCAUGUUUUUGCCCGUUUGCCUAGGUUCAAAGUCCUAUGGAAGAAUGGAGUGAUUUCAGAUAUUUUGCACAGGCAGAACACUUUAACACUAAAAACUUUUUUUUGAGAGUAUUAAACACUAAAAACUUUACACACUAUCAUGAUAUGUUUCCAUCUACAGCUGGAAAAAAAAGUAUGCUUCAGAUCUAUUUCGCAACACUCCUACAUAUUGCUUUGUCUUUUAUCUAAGAAAGUUCUCUCCAUUCUACUUAUGGUCCAUUUUAUCAGCAUCCCUGGUACAUGAUCAUUACCCUGUUAAUUGGAGUUAUCACUUCAGAAUAGCUGUUUAGGGACAAUAAGAGGUAAGCUAUCCUUGAGUACCCUUUUUUUUGGAUUCUGUAACUUUUUUUUCCAGUUUCUCUCGCUGCAUCUGCUGAAUUCCAUAUUGUGAUCUGUUCAAAAUAAAUCUUUUAUAGAUAUAUUGAUCGCCUGAUGUGUGCCCACAUAGAAUUAUUCUGCAAUUGACCUUAGGUUGAUCUUAGUCUGAAAAAAAAAGAUAAUGUCUUACUAUUAUAAUCCUUGUUCAAUGGAUAAAUCAAAUGUGUUCACACUUACUAUUCAGAGGUGCAGCUUCCCCAAUUGGUCCCCAAAUGUUCUGUGCAUUAUGCAGUAAGGAUAUCAGAUUAUCUGCCAGCAAUUUAAACAACAUUUUCUGUUACAGCUCUGAGUCGCAAUAAUUUACAUGAACAAGUGCAGACAUCAACUUGUGUGCUCUUCAGUUUCUCCUCUGAUUUUGUUUGUAAUUUGUCAGAUAUCUGUGUUCUUGACACACUCUUCUAUCAGGCCUACUGUACACACAUGACCACGAAACCUCUUGACGUAGCAAUUGGGACCACAUCGGCCCAUCAGCUGAUUGGAUCUGUGACUGGUCUCUAAGAUAUGAACAAUCGAAUGUAAGCAUCCUGAACGGAUCAACUCUUAUGCAGUGAUCAUUAAAAUAAAUAAUUUUGAUACAAAUAAAUAAAGAUGCCACAUAGAUCUCAUUUUGUAAAUAACUAAGUUCGUACAUGUAUGUUGCUACAAACAAUAAAUAUUUUGAGACCAAUUGAGAUCUGAAGCAUCAACCUUUUUGAAUUUUAUAUCACACAAUCUAAAGAGAAAAAAUGACAUAAUCUGUCUAAGUAUUAAAUAUCACUUGUUCAUAGAUAAAAAUAAGAAUAAAACAUUAUGAGUGCAGGAUCAUUGCGCGGGUAAAUUUAGGCCGUCUGUCUAGAAGCAGAAAAGAUAAAAAAAUUUAGUUGAUAUCUAAUUUUGGUCAAACAUAAAAAUAGUUUGACUCUCUAAAAAAUAAAAUAACUUACUAUUUGAAACGGAGGCAAUAACAUCAGAAAUCAUACAUAUAUUUUUAGAAAAGCCAAGCCACAGUAUCUUGAGCUGCCCCACGGCAAGAAAUUUUCACCACUGAACACCAGUAACUAUAGUCAGCAACACGAGCAAAUUCUCUUUCCCAAAGCCAUCAAAGCAAUGUCCCUGCCCAUCAGCGCGCAACACCCUCUCAAGUUCCAUCAGUCCUCAGAGCCGGCCUACAAAGCCUACAAGCACCAGCUACAUCAAUGCUCUCUCUCUCUCUCUCAUAUAAGGCUGUCCGCAGUGGGUAUUCCACCCCAUCUGCAACGCAUCUUCCAGUACCACUAUAGAGAAAAAAUCGUUGCAGCGGCGUUCUCUAAACGGCACGCCAUCCUUGCGAACGGGGCGGAGGCGCGCCAAAUCUGGGGUGGUAACGUCCGUCCGCAACGCGCCGACGUGGUUUGGGGCUUGCCUCCGGCAGUUGCUCCACUGCCUCCUCCCGCGCCGGGCAGCUCUCCGCCGCCGCAGCGCCAGUGCCAUCUGCCGCAGCAGCCCUGCCCCGUCCGCCCCGCGGGGGAGGGUGGGGAUGGAGAGGCCGGCGAGGAAGGGGAGGGAGGGCGCGCGCGCCGGCGAGGGAGGGGAUGGAGCAUGAAGGAGGCCAGGAGGUCGCCGCGUCAUGGCCUCCGCCGCCCCGCCAUGGGCGCACCGCCGCAUGGCCCGCCAGCUGCCCCGCUGUGCCCGCGCGCCGGCCGCCCGCUGUGGCCGUGGGCCGCCCCGCCGUGCCCGCGGCCCCGUGCGACGGAGGAGGGAGGAGCCAGGACGAGGGGCGCCGGCGAGCUCAGGCCACCGAGCUCGGCACGGCGGAGCUCAGGCCACUGAGCCCUGGCUGCUCGUCGGCGCCCCUGCGCGCUCCCGAGCAGUGCCUCACCCAACGCCGUUGUUGCCGCCGCCUGCCCGCCCAUGGUGGAGGAGCCGAGGCAGGCGCGGAUGCCCGGGCGUGGCGGAAGAGCCGAGGAGCGCGUCGAGGGAGGUCCAGUGCGCCGCCGUGGCCGAGCUCGAGGCGUCGCCACCGCCCGCGCGAGGCCCCGCGCCGCCGUGGCAGAGGGAGCUAGGGAGGAGGGGAAGAGGAGGGGGCGGCGGAUCCGGCCGACGGCUCCAUGUACCCGUCAGGGCCGCCGCCGCCAUGGCCCCAUGGGUGCUCACCUACCCAAGCCGCCGGAGGAGCAGAGGGCAGGCGGGGGCUCGGCCUUGCCGCAGGGCCCCGACCACGCCGUGUCCGCCCCGCCUCGCCGCCGCGGCUCAGCCUCGCCGCGGUGGCCCCGCCACACUGCAUCCGCCGAGGGGGAGGCGAGAGCAAAGAGAGAGAGAGGGGAAAGAGAGAGGAGUGGCGGUGGGAGAGAGCGAAAGAGGUGGGGAUGGAUAAAAAAAUCUAAAUUACGGGCCCCACAGUGGGUAGUUGGUAUAGAGGAUGGGAUAUGGAGGAUGAUGGGUGCGGAGAAACUGAAUAUACUCUAUAGAGUAUAGAAUCUCGAUGACCAGGAUGAAAUAUUUUCUUUAAAGAAUGAAUUUAGAGUACGACGAGUGCGGAUAGCCUUAGAGGGAGAGUGGAGAUAGAUGCAAAGGCAAAACCGUGGUGCUUGCCUGUUUGGUUGCACAGAAACCUUGGAGGUUUGGACUGCUGUGAGUUAUGACGGGAACUGCAGGUGUGCAUGGCGUCGAACUCCGAGCCGGCUUUCUCGGCGCCAAAGAUCUUGGCGCCGAGGUAGCUGCCACAUUACCUCAGUGCAGGUGGUAAGUACCGCCCCUCAGCGCAGGUGGUAAGUACCGCCGAGACGUGUAACCUCGGCGCCAUGGGUUUACAACACAUAUGAGCUUCUGUGACAUUCUAUUUAUAUUACUAAAAGUGGUAUUUUCGUCAUGUUUUAUAAUCUGUGACGUUUGCAUGACGAAAAUUGGUUCGUCGACUAUACCUUGUCAUAUAAAAGAUCUUCUGCGACGAAAACAUAUUUUUUUCGUCAUAAAUAUUAUGACGAUUAUUCUAUCGUCACUAAUGUCAUAAAUCUUAUGACGAUUAUUCUAUCGUCACUAAUUUGUGACCCUCAUUUUUUGUCAUAAUUAAUACCAAGAAACAUCACAAAACUAUGUGCAAUGGAUGAUUUUACAUGUGCCAUGUAGGAUAGAAAACAUCAUAAAAUCUUUCCCCCAUAUUAUGUGGCGAUGACUAGAAUAUGAUGUGGCAUCUCCAUUAUGACGAUUUCAUUUGUCAUAAAAUAUUCAAAUUAUUAAUACAGCCUGAUAUUUGAUUUGGACUGAGAUCAAUUCAAAACAAUAUAUUCAUUCAAAACACCAGGCCACUUUACAGAAUAUUUAUUAUAGUCCGAUAUCACUUGUCCAAAAACCAAUAGAUUCAUAUGCAUAUUACAGCCCAACAUCACUUGUGAAGUCACUUCAUAAACAACCCAAAAACAAAAAAGACAAGUCACUCGAUAACAGGACAGCCAAGACAACUCUACGAACUCACAGCCAAAAAGUCUCUCCCCUUGCUUCUUCAAACUUUCAAUCUCUCCCCUUUGAUUCUCCCUUGCUGCUUCAGGUUCCUGGAACUUCAGCUUCAAGUCUUCUAACUCACUUUGCCGGUCAUCCAUUGUCUCACUUUGCUGCUGAAACCUGCUCACUGGUAAGAAAGGCAAUGAUUAUAAGUACCGUAACACAACCAUUAACCAAAUAUCAGACAUAUAUAUGUUUGUAACUUCUAGUCACAUAAGUGCACAUGCUAAGUUACAGUAUGAAUGCAAGUACCAUAACACACUCUAAUAAAUGUAAGUAUAACAGCAGUACCAACUAGAGAUCCAACCCAAUGUGCUGUAGCAAGCAAGAAAGGUAGACCUACCUUACAAUGUGCUGUAGGUCCACACGAGAAGGCAACAGUUUACAAUCUGAAACCGUAGUUCUUCCUAAAGGCAGCAGUUUACAAUCUGAAACCUUAGUUCUUCCUAAAAGAAAAGGCAAUGUCAGAAGCAGCAGUUUACAUUUUCAUAUUAGGUCAGUGUCUUCAUAUAACAUCUGAUUAGUCCAAUAAACUAAAAAAUACAAAUUGCUUAGUAACAACUGACAAUCAACCCUCCUCUUCUAUCAACCAAAGCUUGCUCAAGUCGUGUGCAAGAAAAACUAACAUGUCAAGUAAUGCUAAAAGCAUAGGUAUUAUUUGCUACCACUUGACUUGAGUCAGUGUAUCACUUUGUACUCAACCAAUAGAUGCUUUAGCUUUGCAAGAUCGUGACAUCGUUUGUUUAUCUGCUACCACUAUCCUGCAAUGUAAAGUAAUAAACAUACAUUACAUAUGCUGACUUGUAUGGAGAGGCUGCAGUCCACAUAAAUGAUCCAUUAAGUCUGUACAAAGAGCAAUUAAAAGUACAAAUAUUCUAUUCAAGAGCCUUAAGUAUGCGUGCAAUUAGUUAAGAACUGCACAAGAGUGUAGAACAACUAAGGAUGCCUGCCCACAAGAAAGUCAUUCAGCAAACAGGACUAGUAACAUAGAGUAGAGCAUUACUCAGGUACCUGGGCCUUGUUUGGUUUGGCGCUAGAAUCCUAGCGCUAGAAGAGAAUCUUUUCCGCAUGAAUAACUGAAUGAAGUUUAUUUGCAAAACCUUUUCAGGGAUGGGUGUAACUUUUCGCGACGAAUCUAAUGACGAUAAUUAAUCGAUAAUUUGCUACAGUGAUGUUACAGUAACCAUCCUCUAAUCGCAUGGUCAAAGGCCUCAUUAGAUUCUUCAAGGUCACUAGCGCGGGGGUUCUGAAGUUAGUUUUGUAAACUGCUUUUAUUUGACACCGUAAUUAGCGAUCAAACUGUCACUAUUCACUAGCACACUGCAAACCAAACGGGGCCCUGGUGGCUUGUUUCUCGCUGCUUGUGGAAAGAGAUGGAGGUGGCCAUUGCUGCUCAAGGGAGGAUGGCCACUUCUGCUUAAGGGAGGUCAAUCUUUUUAAAGAGUGCUAUCCAAUCCUUCAGGUUUGGUUGAAUGUACAGUCAGUAAUCAGAACUAUUUUCUAGCAACUGACCCUAGCUUCUGAUAAGAUUCUGAUAACUUAUAUAAAGAUAAAGAAUUUUUUUAGCAACUUAUCCUAGCAACAGUUUGUAGUUUGUACAGUUGCCCUAAUAAUAAGAAUCGAGUAGUGUUUUAAUAAUACUUGAAAUAGAUAAACUAUUGCUCUUACAUGAACAUAAUGUAAAUGGACAGAAUCACAUUAACUUUGGUACUAUCCAAUUACAUACUCAUAAACAAGGAGACCUAAAAAAAUAAAGAGAAAGUUAUCUCUGUACAUGCUCAAUCGACAUCCCACCUUGAAUCUAGGAUGAGCUCAUUUGCUAAAAUUACUUGCAACAUUUUAUAUAAAAUUACUCAAUUGAACAGAGCACAGCACAAUAUCACAAAGCACAAUAUAAAAUUACUCAGUAGUUAGGGGUUGCAUAGAACAAAGCACUCAAUUUUUUCUUUGACGAACCACAAAGCACUCAAUUGAACAGAGCACAUCACACUAUAGAGACCGCAGCGUGCUGUAAUAGGAGUAACAUAGGACAGAGCACGCAGUCGAACAGAGCAGAGCACAAAUUAGACCACCUCUUCAACUGCAAUUGAACACAAGAGGAAGAAUCAAGUACCAGGACGGUAGUACCUAGGGUCCUAGAGAUGAUCCUGAUCUGGGUGGAGGCUUGGAGCUGGAGUUCGCGAAUCUAGCUAAUCUGGCGGCGGGGCUGUAGGCGUCGAGAGGAGGCGAAGCUUGGGGGCCGGGGUGGCACACACGGGGCCGCACAACAGGGCACGGCAUGCGCGGCCGCAGGGCGCCGAGCGGACGAGACCUUGGGGCCGGGGUGGCACACGGGGCCGCGGCCGCGGCGCAGGGCGCAGCACGCGCGGCCGCCGGGCGCCGACCGGAGGCAGAGCUUAGGGCACGUACAACGGACAGACAUAGGGAUGCAAGCGGGGCGGGUUUUGCCGCAAGCCCGCUGGGCUGACCCGCCCCGCAAGCACGUGAAGCGCCGCAAUUCGGUCCGCAUAAUUGAAGUGGCGGUAUGCGGCAGCCCAACGGGGCCCAACGGCGCCGCGAAGCCCGCAAAAUAGGGUUCCUGUGUGUCGCUCGCAGUCAUCCCUAGCCGCCGCCGUCCGCGGCCGCUGCCUCCACUCGCCCGUCCGCGGCCGCUAUCUCCACUUGCUCCUCCUCGUCCCGGUGGCGGCCGCCGACGGGAGCAAGGCGCGGCGACUCCCCGUGAUUCCACGGCGACUUCCACGGCGGCGGGUUCGCGUUCUUCUCCGUGAUGCUGCAGUUCAUUGGCGACCCAAAGAAGCACCCCGUCCCGGCGUCCCGCUCGAGUCGAGCCCCCUCCGGGCACCAGGAAACCUUUACUCCUUUGCAAGGAAGAGCGCCACCUGGAAGGAAUUCUUUAGGAUUGGAGGUGCCGCCGGUGUCCUCACCUCUGCUUGGCCGAAUCAGGAGCCGAACUGACUUCGUCUUUGGUCGACCAAGUGCGCCCUAGACAUGGUGUCACCGCUGCCGCCGCCGGUGGGCAGCGGAUCUACGCCUGCCGUCGUCAAGAAACAAAGGGUGAAGGUGCUUCGACCUGCACACUCCUCCCAAGCUGCCACUGCUACCACUCCGCUCCGACCUGCACACGAGGGCUCCUCCCAAGCUGGCACUGCUACCACUCCCACUGCUGGAUAUCUGAGAAGCCCCUCCCUGCUGCCGUUCUUUUUCUUAUAGUGUUGUAAUAGAUAAUGGUUGGUUGAGCACCCAGCUGUGAUAUUUUCCUACAAGUAUACUCAUGAUUCUGCAGAGUCAGUUGGUAGUGCUGAAACCAAUGUUGGUAGAAGCAACCGUUGGGCUGAUUGGAGCUUACACCAGAACUUGAAACAAAGGAGAAGGGUGAGCGAACUCGAUAAGUAUUUGGAAGGAGAAACGGUGCCUGCAGAUGCUCCUUUUGACAUUCUACAAUAUUGGAAGACUUCUUCCACUUCAUAUCCAAUACUUGCACGUAUGGCACGAGAUAUAUUAGCUGUUCCAGCAUCCACUGUGGCAUCAGAAUCAGCUUUUUCAAGUGGAGAGAAAACCAUCAGUGACUACAGAAGCAGAUUGACCAGCGAGACAGUGGAAGCGUUGAUCUGUCUCCAAGAUUGGAUCAGGGGGGAAGAUUGUACUAUCACCCAUGAUGAAAUAGCUGGAUACUUAAUUGGAGAUAAUGACGAUGAUGACGAUGGUUUACGACUCGUAGACCUAUGAGCAUUGAUCUGCAAUAUUUUUAUUCUGAUCUUACUGUAAGGAAGGAUGAAAUAAUAUGCUGCUUGUUCAUCUGUUAAGCAAGUGCAUAGAGUUUGAGUACAGAAUUGUUGGCUACAAGCUGCAUUAAGGAGAUCUUUCCUUUGCAUUUUUGAUUGGGACAACAACCACCCUGUCAACGAUGCCUCCUGUCUUUCACGUCCGCAAGCCUGAUGAGUAGAAGUGCAAGCGUGGGGUUUCGAUUUUAUCAUGAAGUUUGAUAUUUUUUAUGUUGAGUCAGUGUCCUAGAGUCUGGGUCAUUUGCUGUGUCAAGUGUGUUGACAGUGCCAAUUUUUUUUUCUAAUUUGUGUCAGUUACAUCAGUUUAUGCUAGUUUUACGCCGUCAAGUAAACGUGAAUGUUUCUAAGACGUUUGAUCUGAAUCAGAUGAUCAAAAAAAUUCAGGUGUGAACUUCAUUUGAAACACCUGAAUUCCACCCAUGUCAA